UACGUAGGGUGCAAGCGUUGUCCGGAAUUAUUGGGCGUAAAGAGCUUGUAGGCGGUUUGUCGCGUCUGCUGUGAAAUUUCGGGGCUCAACCCCGAACUUGCAGUGGGUACGGGCAGACUAGAGUGUGGUAGGGGAGACUGGAAUUCCUGGUGUAGCGGUGAAAUGCGCAGAUAUCAGGAGGAACACCGGUGGCGAAGGCGGGUCUCUGGGCAGUAACUGACGCUGAGACGCGAAAGCGUGGGGAGCGAACAGG
rnacentral:rRNA from 1 species